CUAAGUUUCCAACGUCUAGCACACAUCGUUUACGGCAUGGACUACGAGGGUAUCUAAUCCUCUUCGCUACCCAUGCUUUCGUUCCUCAGUGUCAGUAAUGAUCCAGAAAGUUGCCUUCGCUUUUGAUGUUCUUUCUAAUAUCUACGAAUUUCACCUCUACACUAGAAAUUCCACUUUCCUCUAUCAUACUCUAGCUAAAAAGUUUUGAUGGCAGUUCCAAGGUUGAGCCUUGGGAUUUCACCAUCAACUAUUUUAACCACCUACGAACUCUUUAAGCCCAGUAAUUCCGAACUACGCUAGGUCCCUUCGUAUUACCGCGGCUGCUGGCACGAAGUUAGCCGGACCUUCUUAUUCGGGUACAGUCAUUUUCUUCCCCGACGAAAGAGCUUUACAACCCAAAGGCCUUCUUCACUCACGCGGCAUCGCUGCAUCAGAGUUUCCUCCAUUGUGCAAGAUUCCCCACUGCUGCCUCCCGUAGGAGUUUGGGCCGUGUCUCAGUCCCAAUGUGGCUGAUCAUCCUCUCAAAUCAGCUAUUGAUCAUAGUCUUGGUAGGCCAUUACCCUACCAACAAACUAAUCAAGUGCGGGCUCAUCCAAUGGUGCAUAAAGCUUUCUCCGUAAAGACUUAUCCGGUAUUAGCACAAGUUUCCUCGUGUUAUUCCAGGCCAAAGGGUAGAUACCCACAUGUUACUCACCCGUCUGCCACUAAGUAUUGCUACUUCGUUCGACUUGCAUGUGUUAGGCGUGCCGCCAGCGUACGUUCUGAGCCAGGAUCAAACUCU
rnacentral:rRNA from 1 species